rnacentral:rRNA from 1 species
GAUGAACGCUGGCGGCGUGCCUAAUACAUGCAAGUCGAGCGAACGGACGAGAAGCUUGCUUCUCUGAUGUUAGCGGCGGACGGGUGAGUAACACGUGGAUAACCUACCUAUAAGACUGGGAUAACUUCGGGAAACCGGAGCUAAUACCGGAUGAUAUUUUGAACCGCAUGGUUCAAAAGUGAAAGACGGUCUUGCUGUCACUUAUAGAUGGAUCCGCGCUGCAUUAGCUAGUUGGUAAGGUAACGGCUUACCAAGGCAACGAUGCAUAGCCGACCUGAGAGGGUGAUCGGCGCCCCUGGACCUGCGACACGGUCCAGACUCCUCCGGGGGGCAGCAGUAGGGAAUCUUCCGCAAUGGGCGAAAGCCUGACGGAGCAACGCCGCGUGAGUGAUGAAGGUCUUCGGAUCGUAAAACUCUGUUAUUAGGGAAGAACAUAUGUGUAAGUAACUGUGCACAUCUUGCCGGUACCUAAUCAGAAAGCCACGGCUAACUACGUG